rnacentral:misc_RNA from 1 species
GAAAUGCGAUAAGUAGUGUGAAUUGCAGAAUUCAGUGAAUCAUCGAAUCUUUGAACGCACAUUGCGCCCCUCGGCAUUCCGUGGGGCAUGCCUGUUCGAGCGUCAUCUACACCCUCAAGCUCUGCUUGGUGUUGGGCGUCUGUCCCGCCUCCGCGCGCGGACUCGCCCCAAAUGCAUUGGCAGCGGUUCCUUGCCCCCCUCUUUGCGCAGCACAUUGCCAUUCGAGGCGGCGGCGGCCCGCGUCCAACAAGCUCAACCCCCCCGUCUUUGACCUCGGAUCAGGUAGGGAUACCCGCUGAACUUAAGC